rnacentral:tRNA from 1 species
GUUGCACAAACAACACAAUAGACUUAAAAUCUGUUGGCCGCAAGGCCGUGCCGGUUCGAUUCCGGCCUAGCGCACCA